rnacentral:lncRNA from 1 species
UUGAAUUUUUUUGCCUCUCCAGAUCUUAAAAGUCCCGUAUCUUUUUUUCUAUUAGGUUUUUGAGGAUUUUGAAAAUGUUUAACGGGGUAAUUCAGAUGUAACUUUUCGAGUAGAUGAUUUUUCAUAUAAAAACUUUUUCAUCUGAGUUCGUAUGCAAAAGUUAUGCCCAUUUAAAGAAAUUCCAGAGAGAUUUUGCAAAUAAAGUCGAAAUUCAUAUUUGUUAAUUUUCCCAACAACUAGACCACAUAUCACAUGGGAAACUUAUUUUAUUUUAUUUUUUGGACAUUUCCAUUAUUUUCUUUUGUUUUUUCUAAAACUGAAAAGGCGAUCGGGGGGUAGAGUUUAAAAAUGAGGCCUCAAAACCUUUAGUCGCGGUUGGUCUGGCCAACCGCGACUAAAGGNNNNNNNNNNNNNNNNNNNNNNNNNNNNNNNNNNNNNNNNNNNNNNNNNNNNNNNNNNNNNNNNNNNNNNNNNNNNNNNNNNNNNNNNNNNNNNNNNNNNNNNNNNNNNNNNNNNNNNNNNNNNNNNNNNNNNNNNNNNNNNNNNNNNNNNNNNNNNNNNNNNNNNNNNNNNNNNNNNNNNNNNNNNNNNNNNNNNNNNNNNNNNNNNNNNNNNNNNNNNNNNNNNNNNNNNNNNNNNNNNNNNNNNNNNNNNNNNNNNNNNNNNNNNNNNNNNNNNNNNNNNNNNNNNNNNNNNNNNNNNNNNNNNNNNNNNNNNNNNNNNNNNNNNNNNNNNNNNNNNNNNNNNNNNNNNNNNNNNNNNNNNNNNNNNNNNCGCGACUAAAGGUCUAACCUUUAAUCCCGGUUGGUCUGGCCAGACCUUUAAUCCCGGUUGGUCUGGCCAACCGCGACUAAAGGCCUUCGGGCCAGCCUGAGGACCUUUAGUCCCGGUUGGCCAGGCCAACCGGGACUAAAGCCCCUCCCGUCCGCCAGCUCGCGCUGGGCCCACAUAGUUGGUCGCGGGUCUCCUCCCGAACCGCGACUAAAGACCCCUUUGGUCGCGGUUCGAUUAUUUUGGGGACUAAUGGGGGCGUAUGGAAGCCUCUUUUUCUACUAGUGUUCAUUGUUGUGCAUGUUCAUAUGGCCGGCCUAUCUGUCGAGGUUGUGCGGGCGAAGAGGUCAAGCGUAUGCUUGUACUCAUGCGUAUGAAGGCUGGUUGAUGUACUACAUUUACCUUGCGUACACUUGAUCUUGACGCAGUGAUUGUUCCCCCGCUUCCGUUGCGUACGUACGAUAUUUUCACAGAAGCGAGAGGCCUGGUUUUAAUGUUGUGGCCCAUACGGAAUGUCAGAUAAUUUUUUUAAUUGUUUGAAUUGCUUACCGCAUGUGUUAUGUGGCAAUGUCAGAUCAGUUGGAUGGUAACAAAUGUCGUACAAUUUUUUUUCAUGCAUAUUUGUUUUUUUUUGAACAUCAGUACAGACACAAGCACUCAUAUACACGCGCAUACACUCAACCUUUUGAACGCACACACGCACACCCUACCCCUAUGAGCACCUCCGAAAGACUGAGCCGACAUAUCAUUUUGAGAUGUACGAAGUCGCCGUAGGCACCUUGUCGUCGACGGGAACGUCUCCUUCCACUGAAUGCGCAUCGCCGGAAAUCAUGAAAUAAAUUUAAGAAUAAAUGCGAGCACCAGGAUUUGAACCCUGAUGGACCACAGUCCCUUGAUACGUACUUGUCACUCGUGUACAACUUUCAAACAUACAGUUGCAUGGAAGUGUAGCGAUAGCAGCAUAACGAUGCAUGUGCCGCAUGCAUGCACAGGCUGACGGGUGACGGGCACACAUGUUUUGUCAUGAGUGCAACGCGUGAGAACACAAGACGGUUCGUGGAAAACCGAACGAUUCCGCCUCCCGCCCGAAACUCCAUUAAUUCUUUGACGUAAAUGUUUCCGCGGGAAGGAGGGCGCGAACCGGCCGGCGAACGGUGAGCUUCUCGAUGGUGGAGUCUCCACGCAUUUAUUUUUCGAAGCCCAAGGGUGUCUACAGCUCGCUUUGAUCUACAAUAGACCUGGCCAUCCAGCAAUAUGUUAGUUGGGAGAACAUAGGCCUUCUCAGAGCUUAGUGACUCUCGGCCGUCGGAUCGGUUACUUGAUACGUUUUGGACCGUUGGAUCGAGCUCCCGAAUCACCUGCGCCUUCGGAUCGACUCGGAGCUACUGCUACAAUGAACAGUUACUCCCGUUUCGUGCCACUGCGCAUAAUUCCAGCGCCCUGCCAAGGGCAUUUUCGUCAUUUCGCCUGCAGGUGUAUAAAAUGCGACGGCUCGCGUGGAGAUGACCUAGCCGCUCCCCACCCCGCACUCGCGCCCCUCCCUCGUCCUCCCGCGUCCCAGCCCCCGCUCGCCUCGCCCUCUCCCCCUCCCUCUCCCUCCCUCAGACCUCGCCGCCCCGCCCACAUCGCCGCCGCCCCGCUCACACCCCCGCCGCCCACUUCCCCGGCGUCUUCGUCGUCAUCCACCACCACCGCCACCGCGCCCCCACCCUCUCCCCAUCCCCGGCCCUCACCUUCUCUCCCGUGGCCAGUGGGGAGCCCCUUGGGGGGUCGAUUCCUCCGAUCCGGCCGGCGUUGUCGCCGUCGUCCACCACCAGGUCCAGCCCCACGCCGUCGUCAUCUCCUUCGCCCGGCCGGCCGUCGCUGCACCGCACGCCCGUGCGUAGGGACGAGAAGGAGAACCACUGCCCGCCCCCGGAGCGCGAGGAGAACGGCGCUGACGUCGAGAUAGCGCACAUCGAGCCCGAGAUCCUGCGCCUCUCCUCCAGUUUCCUCCACCUCAACGUCUUUCGGGGCCACGACGCGCAGCCGGCCGGGAUGGGGCCGCGGGCGAGGAGGGGAGGCCUCGCCCCCUCGAUCUGGACGGGGCCGCGGCCUACCUACACCACCGCCAGCCCGCCGCCGCGACGCGCCUUGCAGGACGACGCCUCCGCUGCCCCGCCGCCGGUACAGGAGCCCAGCAGCGCCUCCCUCCCUGGAGGAGCUGCUCCCGCCCAGCAGCGCCUCCCUCCCUGGAGCAGCCGCUCCCGCCUAGCAACGCCGCCGCCCGAAGCUGCGCCGGCGACCCGUCUAGAGGCAGGUAGCGACCACUCCUCCCUCCUUCCUCCCUCCCUCUCUUUCCUCACCCUCUCGCUCCUCCCUCUUGCAUCCUCUGUUUGUUCAAGUUUUUUUCCUGAUUACUUGUUGUAGACUUGAUAUUGUGAGAAUAUAAUGAUGAUUAUUUCUUGAUGAGUCUUGCUGCAUGAUUUCCAUUGAAGUCGCAGAUGAUUGAUCAACAGACCUACCUAUGAAGGUAGAGUGGAAGAACUGGAAAUAAAGAUGCAGGGAAAGGACAAUGAUGCUGCAACAUCACUUGUUUCAUGGCAUAAAGAGAUAGAGGUAAUACUUUUAAAUGCCCAACAUCGUUAAAGGCCAUUAGGCAUCCAUGGAAAACCUUUCUCUGUAUCUUUUAACAAGUGGUUCCUUUGUAUGAUGCAGGUUCAAGGGCAGAGCCAUAGAUUUAGCCUCUAAAAAUAGGCUCUGAACGAAUUUAACCACGAUAUGCACGCAAGGGCAGUGAUGCCUUUUACUACUUGAGAGGCCCAACAAGGUAUUUUUACUUUUCUGCUACCAAAGGAAACAUUGAAAAAAAAUAUGCUGCUCCAGUGCCCUGUAGUUUGUUCCUGUAAAAUUUUACAAAUAUGAUGAAGAAUAAGAUGCAUCAUUUGCAGUACCUGGCUACCAAGAAGGAGCGACACUGUUAUCAAACUUUUCUCUAUGAGCUAUAUAGUAUAUACUGUCUUUUGACUAUGCGCUUCUCUUAGUACUGCCUGAACAAUCUGUAUCUUUGCCCUGUGUUAUAUGAGCUUAUGAUAGACACACUAUUUGAAAGCACGAUCAGCAGCCAAGGACAUCUCACGCCACGCUCUAUCUCAUCUUAGUCCUCACUAAUUUACAAACGGGAUGAAGAGGACACACUAGCUGUCAGGCGGGUUUAGCGCUACUUCCACCAUCACGCCAUCGUCCAUUAUUGGGGACCGCGAUGUGGGAUGUUCGUGGGCGGGGAGUGAAUCGCCAGUUGUUUCUGCGUAGCCGUCGAUGGCAUCCAUUUGCCUUUUGUCUCCGAGGGCGAACUCCGGGGUCUAUUGUUCACACCCAACAUGAGGACGUGGUACUAGGAGCAGAGAAUAACAAGUUAAACAAUAACAGACCAUGCUUCUGAAACUUUCAAUGAAAUAUAAUGUACCAGUUUAAACUCAUAUUGUUUUGUGAAUCAUUUCCAGCCACUAGAUGCUACCAGCACUUCACAAAGGCACAAAAUACCAACAGUAGAAGACACCUAAGGUAAAAAUUCAAAGGAAAGGUGAGUACAGCUGUACAUAAUGUUGACGUAGGUUUCUGCUCCGGUGCUCCCCCCUGGGCUGAACGCGAGGGGGAGAAACACAAGGACGGCUGAGAUCUGUCAAAAACGAUUCGUGAAGAGGGGCAGAUCGUCUUUUUAUGCCCGCGGAGAGCGCGCGUACAGCCCUGUACAAGCCCGCACCGGCCCGAUUACUUUUGUACACUGGGGGUAUACAUGUAUUGUACGUGGGCGAUUCGUUUUCCCUUGUCACGUCCGGCGGUCGUGGGCGUGGGCGGCGGCGGUCGUGGGCUAGCCACGUGGCCACGCGGCGCACGAAAACUUCCAAAAACGUCACAUCCUAUAAAGAGGGAGGGGAACCACCACCGGCCGCAUCUCCCCCACCAUUUCCCCCCAAAUCGGCUCACUCCCUCUCUCCUUGCCGCAUCGUCUCCCCCUCGUAUCCAUCGCCCCGCCACUGCACCUACUCGCUCAACCCCACCGCCUCCCUCUCUCCGGUGGGUUCUCUUAGGCUUCGAUGGAGCAAGGUGGUGGCGCUGCCGCCACUGCGCACGGAGUUGCGGUCGAGGCCGCGAACACCGCGGCAGAUGCCGUCCAAGAAGUGGCCGCCGUCGGCGGUGCGGGAGAUGCUGCACCCGCAGUCCCUGGAUCGGUCGCUGCGGCGGCGGAUCUGGUGGAGCAGGGGGUGGUGGGCUCGGACUCCGUCGUGCCGGACCUGGUGGUGACGGCGUCUGGCGGCGCACUGGAUGCAGGUGCGGAGGCGAGCGACAAGCAGGUGGUGGAUGUGGUAAUCCUUCUCGUUCCCCUCCUCUCUUAGUUGUAGUUGUUAAGCAGAACAUUUAGUAGAUAGGGUUUUUUAUUGUAGAUUUGUGAUUGAACGCGGCACCCCCUUCUGCUUGUUAGGGUUUUUUGAUUGAAUGGGGAACCCCAUUUGAGAGUUAGGGUUUUUUGUAGUUGAUUUGUGGUUGAAUGCUAGAGAGAUCAUAAUGAGAGUUAGGUUUUUUAUAUUAGAAUCUGGAUUGCCUCAUGUGCUCAGAUUUUGUUCUAUGCUGUAUAUGUUGUUAGAUUUGUUUUGCAUAUUCCCUCAGUGGGCCACGGUAGGGGCUGAGCCGCCACCCAGUGUAUCUAUUAAAGUUGAUAUUGUACAAAUGAGGUUAAAAUCCUACUUUGUUCAUUUGAUGUCUAUCAAUUAAUUGUUGAAAUGAACACAGUACGUUUAACUAGUGCACAAUUUCAAAAUAGUUAGAAGCUUCACUUCAUUAUCCAUAAACUAAAAUUGUAGGUAGGUUUUAUUUUUGAUCUGUAGGAUUGCUGUACUUAUAAAGUAAACCAUAAGUAGAUUUGCUAGACAUGCAACUAUGCCAGAUGACCAGGUCAUAUUAAAUUUAUGUUGCAUAACUCCAUGAAUGAAUGUCAUAUGAAAUAGUUUCACACCUAGCACCAAAAAUUGCACUAAGAUUUCCUUUCCUGAAGCUCAUGGCAUUACAAUAUACUAUCCAAUAUAAGGUUCAGAUUAUAGGGCAGCUGAUGCACCACUAUGUACAUUACAUGAGCCAGAUGAAGUAAAUGCAAUUGCUUGUUGUCAACCAAUGUACUACCUCCAUUAAUUGGCAGACCUGAGCACUCACAAAAUUAUUGUUGGUGCCCAGUCUGGCAUUAUAGUUUGAAGGACCACAGUCAGCAUGAUCUAAAAUUUUAGUUUGACCAAGCUAUCAUUGUAGAAUGCUUGACCUUUGGAUAAUUUUAGGUCAAAGUAACAUUUUAGGUUAUUAGAAGCACAUUGCAGAUUGCUUGACCUUUGCAUACUAUGUUAUAUGUAGUUAGUAGUAUAAUUGAAUUAAUUACUUGUAUUGCAGAAUGAGGAAGCUGCUGGCAACAAGAGGAAGCUGGACAUCGCUGGGUUCGACGACCCGUCUGAGUCUGACGACGACAAGGAGGUAACCCCAAGUUGUUUUUGGUCUGUUUAUUAAUCUGUGUGAGAUGUUGUUUGUUGAUGAUGCCCUAUAUGAAUGCCUCUAAAUUGGAAUGUUAUAUAGUUUAUUCAUUGAUAUCAUAAAGUUGUGUUGUUUGGUCAUUAAUUAGCUCUAAAUGGCAUAUUUGUGGUCUUUGAUCAUGAAACCAUAUCUGAAUGCACAUAAAUGGAAAUAUUGUGUUGUUUGUCCAUUGAAUUAUUCUAAAAUGGAAAGUUUUGUUGUACUUUCAAUUAAUUCCUCUGAAAGUUGUGUUGUUUGUGUAUUACUUAGCUGUAAAUGGGAUAUGUGUGAUGUUUUUUCAUGAAACCAUAUAUGAAUGCAUAUAAAUGGAACUAUUCUGUUGUUUGUCCAUUAAAAUCUUCUAAAUGGAACUAUUCUGUUGUUUGUGCAUUAAUUAGCUGUAAAUGGGCUAUUAUGUUUGUUUGUUCAUUAACGGGAAAGUAAAUGGCAAUUAUUUGAUGUUUGUUAAUUACAUUACUCUAAAUGGGAAGUAUGUAUUUAUGAAAAUCAUUUGUAUGUGCAGUACAACUCUGGAGAUGAGGUGGAAGAGUGGAACCACAAGUCCUUCAUUGAGCAUGAAGCCAACAAGAUCAGGGAGAAGGGGAAGGCGGCGUACUACAAGUGGGGCAAGUUCAGGUGCCCAUACUGCACCACUAAGCCAAUUCCCAAGGAUGGGUUGUAUGAGCACCUUAUGUCGCAUGCACGCGGUGUAGCGACGAGUGGGAACGACGUGAAGAUCAGGGCAGAGCAUGUAGCCCUCCUAAAGGCUAUGGGUCCCAUCUAGUCACCCUCUGUGAAGCUGGUAGUGGUACUCAUCAUCAGUAUAGUUGAUGAUGUUUAACUUUUGCGCUAGUAUGGUUGUGAACUGUGAAUCUGGAAGGUGGAAGUGUUUGUGAACUGUUAAGUAGUAUGGCAGACUCUUUAAGUAUGGCAGAGACUUAAUUAAUCUAGUAUGUCUCUGAAGUAUAUCAACUGUCUAGAUGCAGGUCAGCUAUGCUUUGUUGCAGUGUUUAUAUUCUGAUGCUGCAAUGAUCACAGUAGGUGCUUCAAUGUUGCUUGACUGAUGAGACAUGCUGCAUACAGUGGGCAUGUGCUUGGUAAUGGUGUGUGCAAAUAAUAAGCCUUAUCUAAAUAGGAUAGAUAGUAAAAAACAUUGACUUGAGGUUUUCAUAAGUUAGCACGAUCGAAUCUUCCAUUACAAAUAUAUUAUUAAAUUUAGAAAAUGUUGAAAAUCAUGUUUUGUCAAUGUUCUUAAGUUAGCAUGAUUGAAUAUUCCAUUUCAAAUAUAUUAUAAAAAUUGGAAAAUGUUGAAAAUCCUUUUUUGUCAAUGUUCAUAAGUGAGCAUGAUUGAAUAUUCCAUUUCAAAUAUAUUUUUAAAAUGAGAAAAUGUUGAAAAUCCUUUUUUGUCAAUGUUCAUAAGUGAGCAUGAUUUAAUAUUCCAUUUGAAAUGUGUUUUUAAAAUUAGAAAAUGUUGAAAAUCUUUUUUGUCAAUGUGCAUAAGUUAGCGUGAUUGAAACUUCCAUUUGAAAUAUAUUAUAAGAAUUAGAAAAUUUUGAAAAUCUUUUUUUGUCAAUGUUCAUAAGUUAGCAAGAUUGAAUCUUCCAUUUCUAAUAUAUUUUUAAAAGUGGAAAUUUUGGAGGUGGUCGAUAAAAUCACCGCCUUCUGGAGGGACCAUCUGGUCAAACUUACAUGUUGAUUUUUUGCAGUGAGUCUAUAGGGCAGUAUAAAUUCAAAAAAAAUUAAAACUAAUAUAAAACCUUGGAAACCUAGCUUUGUUUGUGCAAGAGAUCAUGUGUGCCCAAAUUGAGGUGAUUUGGAGGUGGUCGAAAAAAUCACCGCAUUCCGGAGGGGCCAUUUGGUCUAACUUAAGCCAGUUUUUGAACAUACGUGUUUUUUUCCACCACUUCCAUAUCACCGAAAUUUUCUUGUACAUGGUGACCCACAUGUGCCAAACAUGGCUAUGAAAGAAAUUUUGGAAAAAUAAUACUUUACAAUGCCCCCUUGAGGUAUAGACCGAUGUUUUGACCAGUCAGUCUAGAGGGCAUUAUAAAUUAAUAAAAAAUUCAAAAAGAUGUAAAACCUUGGAAAACUAGCUUUGUUUGUGCAAGAGAUCAUGUGUGCCAAAACUGAGGUGAUUUGGAGGUGGUUGAAAAAAUCAUCGCAUUCCGGAGGGGCCAUUUGGUCUAAAUUAUUUUACAAUGCCCCUUGAGGCAUAGACCGAUGUUUUCAGCAGUCAGUCUAGAGGGCAUUAUAAAUUCAAAAAAAUUCAAAAAAAUACAAAAACUUGGAAACCUAGUUUUGUUUGUGGAAGAGAUCAUGUGUGCAACAUGUCUAUGAAAGAAAUUAUUGAAAACAAUUAUUUUACAAUGUCCCCUUGAGGUAUAGACCAACGUUUUGAGCAUUAAAUCAGGGUGUGUACAACUCUAGCUUGUUCUUGCCAAAAUGCAGCAUGAUGGACAGGCUGCAAUGGAAAUAAUGGUGACAAAUGAAAAAAAUGAAAUAGACAAAAAUAGCCCGCCUACUUGACCGCUUUCACAAUUCAACGGCCUGCAUACGACUAGUAACCCAAUCAUUUAUUGGGCCAGGAUGCAGAGGCCCGCCAGAUUGUGAAAACAGGUAGGAGGUAGGCCCCACAGGGCAGGGACGGAGACAGUUAGGCAAUGUGCUGCCUGCUUUAGAAAGGAACUUGAGAGGGAAAGCUUAGCCCGCUAUAUAAACCGGUGCUAGCUCCCCUCGCUCGGCGAGGUGGGACUAAACUCCCUGCACCCCUGGGAUGUGCCCGGCGCGAAGCUCGCUUGGGCCUAAUUCGGGUGGGCUGUCCCAUGCCAGCCUCACCCGCUGGGUCGCUGGAUGGACCGUUGGGUCAUCUCGUUGUCUGCGCCUGAGGCCUGCAUGCAUGGGAAGGGCGGCGACGUGGGUUUGCAUGCGCGGGUGGAGGACGUGCAUGCAUGCGAGCGAGGCGAUUAAAACCUUGUUUUCACACUUUUCGAUUCAACGUGGCAAUUAAAACCUUGGUUUCACACUUUUUUGAUCCACCCGCAUGUAUUCAACGUGGCAAUUAAAGCCUUGGUUUCACACUUUUUUGAUCCACCCGCAUCUAUUCAACGUGGCAAUUAAAGUGGCAUAUGGAUCGUUCGACGCGGCUAGUUUGAACGUAAGCGCGGUAGGUUCCCUUCCCUUCCCCUUUCCCUAUUUAAACCACCAGCCCUCACCUUCUGCACACAUCCAUUUGCGCCGCCCUUCUCUUCUUCCCCAAACCCAGAGCACUCUCUGAGCGAGCCGCGAGGAUGCAGUACAACGGCCCCACCUACCGGCUCCCACCGACCGUGCCGGAGAGACAGUAUCCGGCCGGCGUCGUCGUGGAGAGCACGCUUCGCGUGUGGGCGUUCUCACGUUGGAGGGGUGCAAGGGGCUUUGCCCAGUGGUUCCUCCGUGCGGGCUUCGCCCACCUCCCGGCGGGCUCGCCGGUGAUGUUCCGACUGGAUGAAGUGCGUCCAAACUCCUGGUCUCCGCCGAUAGGGCUCACCGUCACCUUCACCAAUAGAUUUGAUGCGUACUACCUCCUCGGCAAGGUGUUUUGGUGUGGAUGCGAAUUCAUCGCAUUCACAACCCACAACAUCUUCACAAACUUCAACUGCGUCUUCCCCACCCGCGACGGUAUGCACACCCUCCCCUACUACAUCGGCGAGGACGGGAUGGAGAGGAGCACUGGAGAGGAGGCGCAGUGAAGAUGGUGGUGAAGGCCCGGUCUCAUCAGCUUGACUUGCCCUAGCGUGUUAGGGCAAGUUUUUUAUCUUUUAAAUAUUUCUAUUAAAUCAUGUUGUUGGUUCUACCGUGAACUUUAUCUAUCCGAACUAUGUUAUGAUUUCUACCCGUCUAUUUGAUAUGUUGUUGGUUAUCUGUGUUUUGCUUGCUAGUUCUAUCUUCUUCCCUUGAUAUUUCUAUCUUAUUUGACGUCAAAACCAGCAAGUUUUGGGGUUAGCUCAGAUUUCACGCGGCCCACGGGGGUGUGCUUGCGCGCUUGAUGGAAAAAAUUGGUGUCAUUCAACUUAGCCGUUCGGGUAGCAGGGGAUGUUCCGUCUGGGAAGACGGAUUUUUUCGGCAUGCUUGAAAUGGACCCAAAUUUUUUUUGAAACCCUUGUACCAACAUGACAAGCAUCCAUGCCAACUGGAAAUUGAUUUGCGACGUUGUAUGGUUUUGUAGGCUAUAAUGAUUACACGUGUAGAUGAAAGGCACGAAAAAACAGUUUCAACAAAGACAACAUAAAUGAUUUUUUACAAGUUUUAUAGAUGGAAACUUCUUUAGAUGCAAUGCCAUCUCACAAACAACUCAGAAACAACUGUAUGAUUGAUCAUAAAACACAUGCAUUGUUGUUCAAAGAACUGUCUCAUGAAUAAAUUGUACCAUAAUUGCGAACAUAGUGUGAAACAGAAAAAAAAUGUUUGUUUGCAACAAAAUAAUCCUGGUUUGAAGCUUAAACUGGUUGAAAAACAAUUGAGCCUACUCCAUAUGGUCUUCUGCACUGCCAAAAUCCAGUGACCUCUUGCGUUGCGACGUUGGAGAUUGCGUCGGGCUUGGCGACGACCCAUGUGCUUCAAUCUUUUUCUCUUUAACAUCAAUGUAACCAUACCACUGAAGUUGUUCUUGUUCUUUCUCCGCCAACUCUCUAGCAAGACCCUCCAUUUCUUGGAUUCUCACUUCCUGUAGAAAACCAUAGGAAUUGUAUUAGGAAGAACUUAAAAAUGACGUAGCCAUAAACUAGAUGCAUGUAACAUGUAAAAUUUGAACCUCUGGAUCAAUGUCAUCCUCGGGAAAACAACCCGUAGUUCUAUUGUACACAAUGUACAGGUGACAUGUCUUGCUGCCAUUCAGAUCAGAAAGCAUUUUUUCUACAUCAUCUGGUCCUGCAAUCAAGAACAUUCCUUCUGGCAGCUUCCACGCAGACCCGGGUAAGAAGUAGUACAGUUCUGCUCCCAGUUUGCAACCAAAAGUAUCUCUCAUUUCACUCAUAAUGAGAUUGUAGGUCACUUUGGCGGGUUCAAAAAUUCUGACUUCUGUCGGGUGUUCAUCAAAGUAUGCUCUCGGGACAUGUGACAUCUCAUCAUCCCUACUAACAAAAAAUUCCAUGACCAGCACCUAGUAUCUCACAUCAGAGUUAAUACAUUCAAUGAGUAAAGGGGCAAACAUAAUUUUUUAUGUUCAUAGCAACAUUGCGGUGUUGUUACCUGCUUUUGUGGAAUGUAUCCUUCAUGUGGAGUGACUGGGGAUUGUGCCAUCUCAAACCUUCUCACCUUGUUAUGUGGAAUGUAUCCUUCAUGUGGUGUGACUGGGGACUCUGCCAUCACACGUUUCUUAUCCUGCGUAUGAAACGUCGACAGUGGGUUUACACACAAAUUUUAAAAGGUCAUACCAUAUCUUGGGUAUGGCAUCGUUGGGAGGUACUUACAAGGGGAGAAUUGAAGAUAUGUUGUUGGGGUGGAGUGAUGUGGCAUUGAACGGGUGACUCUAUCGCAAUGUCUCGAGUGGAUGGCGACUGUGCCGUCUCAUGAUGCUUAGCCUACAUACAAUCGCCGACAUAAGGUUGCCACAAAUUGAAGAUGUUUGUAUCAUAGAAUACGUAGGUCCUUAAUAUAUACAAUCGGUGCGAGAUACUUACAGGGGGAGAAAAAUUGAAGACAUGUUGUCGGGGUGGCCGUGAGAUCGCACAGGCUUCUAACAUAUGUCCUUCCAAACGGACCUUCUCCAGCAUGGCCUUAUAAUCCAUGUUCGACCGCUCCUGUAGCAGCUUGCUGUCCAUAUCCGAACGUGCCUGCAACACAUAGGAAUCCAUCCUGACUCGCUCUGUCUGUAUAAUACUGUCCACAAGCUUCCGAGUUUCUUUUCUACCUCAGCGCGAUCCUUUUGCACCUUCAAGUCGAUCUCCCGGCGCGCUUCAUGCAAACACUUGUCGUACUCCGCACGGUUGUUAUGCGCCUCUAAGACCAUGGUCCCUACAACAACACAUAUACCCAUAGUAUGAAAACUGUAUCCACAACCUCAUCCAACUAAUUCCUAACAAUACCACCGAGAAAAUAUAUUCAUAACCAGUUCAUACGAACAACUACUACAAACUAUCAAUCAAAAAGCUCUUGCAUGACAUCAUGUACUCCAAUUACACCAGAACUACUCAACUAUGGCAAAGGCUAUAUUUUCUAAUCUCUUCGGAAAUGACUUCUUGGUCGAAUCAAUGGAAAAAAUAAUCAGCACUGCAAUCGAAGAUGGGAGGAGCCGUGGAGGAGACCUUUUUAAUCCGGCGUCGGCGUGGUCGCUUGAGAAGCGAUGGCGCGAUCCCGACGAUGGCUAUGUGAGGAGAAACAAGGUAGAUGGGGGUGGUUAGGAUAGGGUUGAUAUACGGUAGAAUGGGAAGGUAUAUAUAUCCGUGAUUGUAGGGUUAAUUAGUUAUUUUGAAGUAAUGCGCUUCGAUGCAAGUUUUUUUUAGACGAGCACGAUCUUUUGGGGGCUUCCAAAACAUGUGCACUGACCGCGGGUCCAACCACAUAUCACAGAAGCCCGAGCCAGAAACUUAUUGUUCUUUAAAAAAGGAAGAGCAAUAAAUUCCUUCCAAGAAUUUCCAGAAAUAAUUGUCAACCCAUUUUCGUUGGUAAUUACGUGAUAUGUUUGGCGCAAUUAGUGGCUAACUGGUUUUUUUUGAGGAAUAGUGGCUACUUGGUUUGAUACAUGCCAAACGUUACGUUCAGAUUAGUUGCAUUAUUUCGUUCAUUUUUUACCCAAAAAUCUAUACAAAGUGUUAAUUGGACAAUGUGAACAAUGUGGCAUGUAACCUGAACCCUAACCCCCCCCCCCCACACACACAAAACCGUAAAAACAUUCAAAAUUUUGCCCCACAUGGAAACCAUUAUGCAUGCAUUCUCUAUGGGGUCAUGGGAUGCCAUGAAGAAAGUUUGGGAUUAUACACGCAAGUACGAUCUCUGACACGCGCAUUUCCGGCCUAGCAUGUCAACACCCCGAAAGCCCCCUUGAGGUGUAGACCGAUGUUUUGACUAGUCAGUCUAGAAAACUAGCUUUGUUUGUGCAAGAGAUCAUGUGUGCCAAAACUGAGGUGAUUUGGAGGUGGUAGAAAAAAUCAUCGCAUUCCGGAGGGGCCAUUUGGUCUAACUUAAGCCAGUUUUUGAACAUACGUGAUUUUUUCCACCACCUCCAAAUCACCCAAAUUUUCUUGUACAUGGUGACCCACAUGUGCCAAACAUGGCUAUGAAUUUUUUUUUGGAAAAAUAAUACUUUACAAUGCCCCCUUUAGGUAUAGACCGAUGUUUUGACCAGUCAGUCUAGAGGACAUAUUUUGUUUCAAACUUGUGUGCAAAAUUAGACAUUUGACAUAUCCAAAAAAUUGAAUACAAAUUUAAAAAUUUACUUUGGGUAUCCUCACAUGGUGGAAAUGUUUGGUCCAAAUAUUUUUAAUAGUUUUAAAUUUUAAAUUUAAUUUAUAAUUUGAAAAUUUAAUGAUUCAAACUUGUUUGCAAAAUUUGACAUGUGACAUAUGCAAAAAAUUAGACAUGUGACAUAUGCAAAAAAAUUAAAUAAAUAAUAAAAAUUGCCAACUUGUUUGCAAAAUUUGACAUGUGACAUAUGCAAAAAAUUAGAUGUGUGACAUAUGCAAAAAAAAUUAAAUAAAUAAUAAAAAAUGCCAGCCUACACCAACAGCAUUUAUAUGAAACCCCACGGCCUGCAUACGAUUAGAACCCAUUGGGCCUAAUUUGGGUGGGCCGUUCCAGGCCAGCCUCACACGCGGUUAUCAGCUGGAGAGGGGAAAAAUUCCCCAUUUCAUCUGGCAGAUACGAUCCCUAGGUCUUUGCUUCUGUUCCCCAUUCACUCCGUGUGCUCAAAUCUCACAUCUGGCGUCGCCGGCGAUGGGGGACAAGAAGGGAAGGAGGUCGCGGCCGGCAAGUGAUUGCCGCCGCGCUCAAGAAAAGUGGGAGGAGGCAGUUGGGAAGUUCUGUCAGGGCGAUCUGGAGAAGAGGGCGAAUGUGGAGGAGAUCUGCAGCUGGUUUCCCAGCUUGCAGAUGUUCAUCGACCAUGGUAGGGGUCUCAUCAAAGUGCUUACGGGCAAUGAGAAGAAAUCGUUGUUUGGUCCUGCUCGAGGAGUUGUUUCCAGUCCAGGUUUUCCUCUGGGCUAUGAACGAAGCGGAUAACUCCCCGGAUCCGCGUGAGCGUGCGAGGCGGUACAUGUACCGCUCCCGCCGCCGCGCCCCUCCUAUUACAGUGCCAGAUCUUGUCGGAGUGUUGCUCGCGGUGCCUGCUCCGGUUGAUCAGUCCAAUGUUCACUCUGACAGUGAUGUGGAGCAAAGAAAGGAUGACAGUGAUAGUGAAGAUGUGGAGCAUAGGGAGGAUGAGAGUGAUAGCGAAGAUGUGGACCAGAGCAAGGAUGAGAGCGGGGAAGAGGAGGUUGUUCUGCUGCUGGACGACAGUGCUGGAGAGGAGGAGCAGGAUGAUGUUGUCCAGGAGCAGCCGGCGGACGUGCAGAUUGUGGGUCCAGGGAUCCCGCAGCUCGGAGACAGGAUCAUGCCGAUUGAAGCGGAGACCUACAUCCGUAUGGGCAUUCGUCACUCAGAGCGCAUCAGCAAGUUGAAGGACAAGAAAACAGAGUGAUGGCAUGUCAGUGUCUUCAGUUAGUCUAUCUGUGUGAGUCAGUUUGGACCCGUUUGAUAGCAUACUAUGUUCUAAGUUCUUUGAGAAUACUUCAGUAUUUGAGAUUAUGUUAGUUUUAUUUACAGUGAGCUGUUUGGUUGCCCCUAAUAAAUGUGAUUUUAGUACUGCAGUAUUGGGAAAACUAUAGUUAUUUCUCUGCAUGAAAAAUGUAGCCCCUAAUAGGAUUGUUGAUUGAUCUAUUUUGCAGACAAAGGAGCCACAAAAAAGGUGCUGGAGGUGGGAGCAAGACUGCUAGAGUGAGUAGCAAGUGAAGUGUACACAGCGAAGAAGGGGUGGAGAAUCAACGUGGCAAGACUGGAAGGAUAAAAAAGAAGACUCUACUUCCUGCUGAAGAUGUGGCCUUUACUUUGUUGCGAUGUUUUAGUAGUUGUUGCUGUUAUUUUGCGGUGCUCAUGAACUUUGUAAGCCUAGGAUGAUGGGUUAGGCAGACUGCGGGCCAUGCUGGCUUUUGGUUAUAUAGGUUUAUGCUGGCUUGAAGUGGAAAUAGAGCAUUAUUAAUGAUAUAUGGAUCAGCCAGUUCUUCAACUCUAAGGUUGCGUUAAUUUGGUUCUAGAUUCAAAUACAUAGCUUAACCCUGCAAGGUUAGCGAUAAAACCCUAGAACAGUGCCCCGACAUGACGCAAUGUGUGUAUUGUGUCCGAAUUCGUGCACACCUUGCCUGGGGGACCACAUUGGCCAUGCCCACAUGCUCCGAAAAAAUUGGGGUCAUCUCAUGCAUGCCUCCACAUGAACCAUGUACAAGCCGGCAAGUUUGAAAGAGGUUUUCCUUGCCGGUCCCACCAAAUGAUCCCAAACUUUAUGCACACCCUACCAUGACCAUGGCAUGCAUGUGGGAGCAGAAUUCAUACACCACGGCCUCAUUUUUGUUGAAAUCCCAUUAAUAGCCAUGUGUAUUACAUGUAAGUGAGCAUGUGUAAAAUUUAUUAGGUGAUUUGAAGGUCAAAACAUUAACUUGUCAUAUAUGCAAAAAAAUGUGUAUUGAAUGCAAGUGAGCAUGUGUAUAAUUUAGUGUGUGAUUUGAAGAUCAAAACACAUGGCAAUAUGCCAAAAAAAAGUGCCCACCUACCAGAGCAGGAGGAUUCAUACACCACGGCCUGCAUACGACUAGGAACCCAGCCGUUCAUGGGCCAGGAUGCAGGCCCGUGGUGCAGAAUAUCUCUGCUGCUAGUAGGCCCCACGGGGCAGAGGGGCCGAGAGUUAGGCAAUGUACUGCCUGCAUAUGAUAGGAGCUUGGGAGGGGAGUCGCAGCCGGGUAUAUAAACCAGUGCGGCGCUCUCUCGCUUGGCGAGGUGGGACUAAACUCCCACCACCCCACGGCUGUGCGCUGCGCUGUGCCUUGCGCGGCUCUGCCUUGGGCCCAAUUCAGGCGGGCUGGCCCAGGGCAGCCUUACCCGCGCACUGAUAUGUUUUAUAUUCUCUUUGUUUUUCACUUCUUAACUCCAAAAUUUAUUUUCUUGUUUAUAUUUCUGAUAUUUAAAAUCAAAUCUCUUUUUUCUAUAUUAUUUCUAACAGUGUUUACUAAAAUUAAAAAAAUAUGCCAAAUUUUGUUGUGUUUUAUUUCAUUUGUUCGUUCUCGUUUUUAUAUUGAUAAUAUUUACGAAAUAUAAACUAAAAUGGUGUGUUUUAUUUCAAUUCUUCAUUCUAAUAUUUCUUAUCUUUAUUAUAUUUGAAAUGUUUUUAGUUUGUAAAAUAAAAUGUUCUGUUUUAUUUCACUUCUNNNNNNNNNNACAGUGUUUACUAAAAUUAAAAAAAUAUGCCAAAUUUUGUUGUGUUUUAUUUCAUUUGUUCGUUCUCGUUUUUAUAUUGAUAAUAUUUACGAAAUAUAAACUAAAAUGGUGUGUUUUAUUUCAAUUCUUCAUUCUAAUAUUUCUUAUCUUUAUUAUAUUUGAAAUGUUUUUAGUUUGUAAAAUAAAAUGUUAUGUUUUAUUUCACUUCUUCAUUCUAAUAUUUGCUCUCUUCUUUAUAUUUGAAAUAUUUUCAAAAUGUAAGAUAAUAUGUUAUCUUUUAUUUCACUUCUUCAUUCUAAUAGAUCUUAUCUUUUUUACAUUUGAAUUGUUUUUUAAAAUCCUAGUAAAUGCAUCGAGUGUCGGAAAUUGAUGAGAAUUGGCAUGCAUGAUGUCCAUGGUCAUCCCGUUGUGUGAAAAAAAAUUGGGGCCAUUUGGUUGAGUCCAGAAAAACCACGUCCUUCGGGCUCCCCCUACGGCAGACCCGAAUGAUGGUGAUUGCACAUGUGCUAUGUGCUGGCCUGCAUGAAAUGACACCAAACUUUGGCACCAUGUGAGGAUGCCCAAUGUAGGCCCCCAUGCAACAUGUGAGCCACUCCUGACACCGAACGAACAUUGCGUCACGUCCGGGCAGCGUUUCGGGUUCUUUUCGCCGGCAAAAUCCUAGUAAAAGCNNNNNNNNNNNNNNNNNNNNNNNNNNNNNNNNNNNNNNNNNNNNNNNNNNNNNNNNNNNNNNNNNNNNNNNNNNNNNNNNNNNNNNNNNNNNNNNNNNNNNNNNNNNNNNNNNNNNNNNNNNNNNNNNNNNNNNNNNNNNNNNNNNNNNNNNNNNNNNNNNNNNNNNNNNNNNNNNNNNNNNNNNNNNNNNNNNNNNNNNNNNNNNNNNNNNNNNNNNNNNNNNNNNNNNNNNNNNNNNNNNNNNNNNNNNNNNNNNNNNNNNNNNNNNNNNNNNNNNNNNNNNNNNNNNNNNNNNNNNNNNNNNNNNNNNNNNNNNNNNNNNNNNNNNNNNNNNNNNNNNNNNNNNNNNNNNNNNNNNNNNNNNNNNNNNNNNNNNNNNNNNNNNNNNNNNNNNNNNNNNNNNNNNNNNNNNNNNNNNNNNNNNNNNNNNNNNNNNNNNNNNNNNNNNNNNNNNNNNNNNNNNNNNNNNNNNNNNNNNNNNNNNNNNNNNNNNNNNNNNNNNNNNNNNNNNNNNNNNNNNNNNNNNNNNNNNNNNNNNNNNNNNNNNNNNNNNNNNNNNNNNNNNNNNNNNNNNNNNNNNNNNNNNNNNNNNNNNNNNNNNNNNNNNNNNNNNNNNNNNNNNNNNNNNNNNNNNNNNNNNNNNNNNNNNNNNNNNNNNNNNNNNNNNNNNNNNNNNNNNNNNNNNNNNNNNNNNNNNNNNNNNNNNNNNNNNNNNNNNNNNNNNNNNNNNNNNNNNNNNNNNNNNNNNNNNNNNNNNNNNNNNNNNNNNNNNNNNNNNNNNNNNNNNNNNNNNNNNNNNNNNNNNNNNNNNNNNNNNNNNNNNNNNNNNNNNNNNNNNNNNNNNNNNNNNNNNNNNNNNNNNNNNNNNNNNNNNNNNNNNNNNNNNNNNNNNNNNNNNNNNNNNNNNNNNNNNNNNNNNNNNNNNNNNNNNNNNNNNNNNNNNNNNNNNNNNNNNNNNNNNNNNNNNNNNNNNNNNNNNNNNNNNNNNNNNNNNNNNNNNNNNNNNNNNNNNNNNNNNNNNNNNNNNNNNNNNNNNNNNNNNNNNNNNNNNNNNNNNNNNNNNNNNNNNNNNNNNNNNNNNNNNNNNNNNNNNNNNNNNNNNNNNNNNNNNAAACAACGUCCUUCGGGCUCCCCUACGGCAGACCCGAAUGAUGGUGAUUGCACAUGUGCUAUGUGCUGGCCUGCAUGAAAUGACACCAAACUUUGGCACCAUGUGUGGAUGCCCAAUGUAGCCCCCCAUGCAACAUGUGAGCCAUUCCUGACACCGAACGAACGUUGCGUCACGUCCGGGCAACGUUUCGGGUUCUUUUCGCCGGCAAAAUCCUAGUAAAUGCACCGAGUGUCGGAAAUCGAUGAGAAUUGGCAUGCAUGAUGUCCAUGGUCAUCCCAUUGUGUGAAAUUUUUUUGGGGCCAUUUGGUUAAGUUGAAAUAAAUAUUUGAUAUCAAAAUUUUCUAAUAUGAAAAAUAAAAGAUAAAAAGUACAUGAAACGAGCCACUCAUCGCUCAAAGAGAGGAGCAGCUGCGAUUUGUUACACAAUUCCCGGAUCGGAAUCUACAAAAAACACUCGAGCGUGGGAAGCCUAUCCCUUUAAUUUAGGAGCACGUACUGCCUCUCCUCAACUACGGAAGGCAAAGAUCACGGGCGUUCUAUCCCUGGUGGUUACGACGACCUAGGAGAUCCUCCUCCUCCUAUUUAGUCUCGGCAUCGUCUUUCAUGUCGUCUACGACGGCUCCUACCGCCGAGUCGACGACAGCUGCGUCCCUAGCAUCGGCCCAACCCCAGCAAGAUUGUCGAGAACAUCCAGGUCGUCAGCGCGUGCUGGCCGUCGUGGACGAACUGCGUCCAUGUUACAACGCCGACAACUUCCAUCUUCAUCGAGCGAUCCAGUAUGUUGGCAACCAUACCGCAUCCAUGAUGCUUUUCUUUGUGCGUGUGUUAGAUUCGAUAGGACUAAGAUUAAUUAGCGCAUAAUCUUCGCAUUACAUCUGUUGGAGUAGAUGUUUUUUGUUUGUGCGUGUAUUAGAUUAGAUAGGCCUAUGACACUAGAUUUGUUUGUGCGUGUAUUUGAUUAGAUAGCCCUACGAUUGCAAAUUAGUUUCUGCAUGUUGUUUGCUGUCUUUCACUUGUAGGUUGGAUUGAUGAAUAAACAACAAUUUUUUAUCAGUGUUAGUUAUAGCAUAGUCACUUUAAGUUAUAGCAAUGCCCUAAGACAUGCAUGUUGCAACUAUGAGACGCCGACUAAUAUUGUAUGUGAUGCACGUUUGUUUGAUGCAUGUUUCCAGUAUGCAUAAUUUCAUUUUUUUCUUUUCAAUUUACUGUUAAUUAGGCACUGUCACCGAUUCCUAUAUCUAUUUGUACAGUACCAUAUGAAAAUAAAUGAUUAGAUAAAUUAUGUUGCUUUUUAUUAUGAAACUAAUUGGUUAAAUAAGUACUUGUUAAACUGUCAUUUUAUGUGCUGCACGUGUCUCUGCUGAAUGUUUCAGUAUGAAUAAAUUAUGUUGUAUAGUUUUCUAUCUACUGUGGGAUAGUGUAUUCCAUUAUUAUGUUUUAUGCAACAAUAUGUUAGGAAAAAAGUUGAUUACAUAAUUUAUGGUACUAGUAUAUUUUUUAACAGGAUGGAUGAACUCAACGGAGAAAUUGUUUGCGCCGUAGAAAAAUGGUGCAAACUUAUUGCCGGUCUAUCUUCCGGUCAACGGGCCGCACUUGCCGAAACACCACUCCGUAGCAUGCUUCAGAUACCUUCGCUGAAGAUGCGUACACUGUUGAUCCGGUACAUGGUUGAGAUAUUUGAUCCUAGCAAGGGCAGAUUCAUUGUACAAGACUUGGUUGGCGAAGUGUCUCUCGGUGCCGUGGAUGUUGAGUGCAUCUUGGCCUUGGAGAACCACGGACUGUCGGCAGAAGGUAUUCUCGGUGAGGAAGGUGAGGAUGUUAAAGAUCGAGUGCCGCCUCAAUUCCUGAGCAAGACCACAGGUAACAUAGUCAUCGAUGAUCUGAUUGUGGACAUCACAAAAAAUAAAUCUGCCGACGACGAUUUCCUUCGGAGAGUUGUCCUCGUGUUGCUUGGAACAGUUCUUGCUCCCAUGUCGAGCAAGACUGUACCAAAGCAAUAUUACGCAUUGGUGGACGAUGUGAAGCGUAUAUCCAAGAUUAAUUGGAAUGCAUUCACCCUCCGGGUUCUGCUGGACUGCCUUCGCAACGUGAGGAAAGGCAAACACCUCCGCCAAUGGACGAGAGGGAAAUUAGCUCUCCUGCAGGUACACCUUUCAGACUUGUACCAUUGCAAAAAAAAUAAUAUGAUUGCUAAUUUACCUGCUGUAUAGUACUAAUUGUAAUUUUUCAUAUUCAUGCAGUACCUGUACUGGGAGAAGGUUCAGCCUCUGGAAGGUGAAUGCGCAUUCAAUCCUAGCUUGUCCAUGGAACCUCUAAUGAGGAAUUGGACUGAAGCUGCAGCCUCAAGGAGAGACAAGUUUGAUUAUGACCAAGGCCGUGGCCGUGGUAACAUCAAGGUAAUUCAUUACGUUGGGUACUUCUUAACUUUUAUAUAACAUAAUUAGUUGUAUUAAUAUUUUUAUUGAUCACAUAUACUUGUAUUUCACAUGCAGAUUGAAGACAACAUAACCAAGGAGUAUAGGGCGCAGGAGCGCAAAGUACCCGAACCAAAAAAGCCAAAAAUGAAGCCCGCCGUUGGUGCGGCAAAGAAGUCCAAGUUAGCCUCAAACGCGGACGAGAUGAUGAACCUCAUCAUGAAGCGGUGUAUGGAUUACAUACGCAGCCAAAUGAAGGAAAUACCAGAACAAGUAGCCGAGGUGACACACCCUUAAUUCUAUGUUUACAACAUUUUUGAAGUUGCAAAACCGUGCCGACAUUAAUUAAUAUUUUUUAUGUAACGCAGAGAUUGUUAGAGAAGUUGAACCAAAAUGGUGUGAUGUACAAGCCAGCGGCUGCAGCGGCUUCCGGCAACAACGAUGCUGACCUAGAAGUGGAUUCCUUUGAGAAUGGUCCGCCAGAAAAAAAAAGAAUUCGUGUACAAGGAUGACUCUGACGGUCUAGAGCCGGUGAUUGAUUUGACACAGCCUGACGAGCCUGUUGUAAACCAGAACAACGAUGAUGAGGAAGUAUGUUUUCAUUUAUUUGUCUUCAUUUAUCUCAAUUAUGCAUCUUCAUUUUCGUUAACUGAACCUAUCACAUUAUUUUUUUGUUAACUAGAAAACACCUGCCAAGUUAAAUGUUGACAAGACAACGAAGCCUACUGAUGAGUGCGGCGCAACACCGGAGAACCCUUGGAUUGUAGGUAGUUCUCCUCGAGCAGAAUCGUCCGACAUUGACAUUUCUACAAGUUCUAUCGACAGGAUGGUGGGUAAGAGCAAGGGGAAAAAGUCUGCAGCAACCGCAAAAGAAGAUGAUGUUAUAUCCGGGAAGCGCCGACGGACUGUUCCCAAGAAAUUUGAAUCCCCCUUUAAACUUGACAAGCCCGGCAAGCGAAGCGCUCGCGGUACUAAGCCAUCCGGCAACACUACCGCAACUAGAGGUACCGUUAGUAGCUAUCUGAGUGCUUAAUUUACUACCAUUUCAUGUACUCACCGUUCGUGACAUUCGUAAUUUAUCAUGCAGCAUUGUUUAGUGACAAUGACAUGGAAGGCUCUGUUAAGGACGAUUUGACACCGGAACUCAUCGAUGCUGCUGUUGCGUUUGUGGAGGCAGCUGCUCGGUGUGAGAAGAAUAUGACAAAAAGAGUUUACUACAAUGAACGUGGCACCUCUGUGACUGUGGAGAGUAUACGACAUGUACUUGAGCAUACAUGGCUGGCGCAUGACGUAAGAUCUAUUACCAUGUCCUGCUAUUUAAGUGCAUAAUCUAUGUGUCACCUAUGAAAAUAAAAUGUUCUAUUAUUUUACGCAGAUUAUCGAUGCUUAUCAGACACAUUUGGCUCUGCGCGUUGGUCAUGAUCGGCACCUCUGUCCAGCCUGGAGGUCCAAAUACCUUGUUGAUCGUGCUAAGGCACGAGACAACCCUAAACCAUCGAAAUACAACAUGGAUAGUGCGCUGAGCAGAGCUGGAGCAGUACGUAGGGUUCUGGACGAGUAUACCGUCCGUGAUAAGGUACGAUAUGUUCUUACUAGUUCAUUAACACUCAUUUCAACAAGCAUAAUUGCAUCUGAUUACAAAUGUAUUCCACAUUUCAGUCGUUUAUCCCGUUGAACGUCGGCAAUACACACUGGAUCACCGUGGUGAUGCACAACCGCAAGAAAGAAUUCCGAGUUUUUGAUUCGCUCUAUCCUCUCGAGUUCUCUCUCGACACUGUGAAAGCACUGGUACUCUCCCCGACAUUGAGCAUUCUUCAUAUGAAAUGUCAUAUGGUUUCUCACUACUACUUUCUUUCAAAUAGCGACUAGCAAUAGCAAUUGAUAUGGAAGAGGCAAACCGUAUUACACCUGGCAAAUAUCCAGACGUCACUAAGUGGCCUAUCAUACCUCAGAUCGACAUGCCACUACAAGAGGACGGGUGAGUUAUGGUUCAUCAUUUUCUACUUACGAAAGACAUGUUCGUGUGCACGGUGACUAAUGUUUGCAUAUAUAUUAGGAACUCUUGUGGCCUUUUUGUGAUUGAAGUUAUGGAGCAUUGGGACGGGGAUUGAUGGACCGCCGAUUUUACCCAGGUAAUUUGUCCUCUCUGCUCGUACACUUGUACAAUUGUCGUAUAAUACCAACUUCUAUUCAUUAAACCUUGUUCUAAAAAUUGCAGGGCACAGUUAAUGCAAGGAGAAGGCGUCUCAUCGCCGAGUUGGUUCUCUCACCUACCAACACGCUCGAAUGUGUGAAGAACAAAAUCUGCGACAUCGCAAAGAAAAGCAAGGCGUGAAGACAUCAUACAUGAUUCAAGAUUCUAGUUUCAGUUGUUUGUUUUAAGUCCGGAAGCACGUUUCACGGCAUGGACAACUUUGAUUUUCUAUCAUUCAUGUAAUAAGCACGAUACCAUGGAUUUUGUGUGGAUUUUUGGUCGCUCACACAUACUUGUGUAUGUGUAAUGCAGUCAGACUAUACGUUUUGUACCGAUAAAUUUCUGCUUCCCUUCAUUUGUUCUACCUUAAUGUUUUUUGCUACUGUGUUCAUUCUUUUCUUCCAUGGAAGAGUAAUUCAUUUCCUUUUUACUUUUGCAUAUUUUUUUGAUUUGAUUUGGCAUUAUUCAACAAUAAGAAAAAAAGUUGAUAAAUUCCUUUUUGUUUGCCUGAGAAUCAACCUCGGCUGUCGUGCCAUCCGGUGUGGGAUCCCGCACCCGAGACAACAACAGAUCCGGUCCCAGCACGGGCGACCCAGUCGACGAGCGCCAGUUGGCGCGGGGGGACGCGCCAGGUCCGGUCCCGCCCGACCGCUCGGUGGAGACAGCCCGCGUGUCGGACGCAGACGGGCCACCCGUGGAUCCUGCGGUUGGUGGAGUAGGCAGAUCCGCCUGGGAUCCCGUGCGCAUGAUUGCCGCUGGAUCUCUUGGGAUCGGCGUCCACAGGUGGAUCUUCCUCGUGUCUUGCGCUAGACUCCCUUGGCGUUAUGUGUUGCUUCAAAUCUCGUUGCACAGUUUUUUUGCUGCAGUUUUGCUAGCCUUUUCCUUUUCUGCAUCAUGAAGACUAGGAUCAGUAGCACCAUCAAUCACAUGAUCAACUACUAUUUCGCCCCCUUGAUCAGUACGAUUUAGAGCUCCGGUGGAAGCAAAAUAAUUUCAGUGCUUAGCCAAGAACCUGCAUUAGGAUGCAGGUCAAACAAGGGCAAACUAUUUCGAAAGUGAUAUAAUUUAUUGGUUAAUAUAAUAUACUUAGACCUUACACAAAUGAAGUGGCCACAAUGCAGACAGGACUUGAUCAUUCUGUUCAACAAUAAACCACAGAACAUACUUAAAAUUCAUCACAAAUCUCCUUCAGCUUCUUGAUCUAUCAACGUACCCAUGUUUCUGUUUGAGAAAAUCUGCAAUAAUAUACUCAAGUUUUUUCUUCUUUUGCUUCAGCUGGUCCCUCUCUCUCAUCACUUGGUCUCUCUCUAGCACCACCCGGUCCCGGUCUUUCUCAGCCUUUACCCUCAGGAUCUGAUGUAGAUUGGCACAACCAUGAUCUGCCAUCUUAUUCUUCUCCAGCUCCUCUUUGAGAUCGCUAAGUGACAAUCUUGCAUUGCCCAACUGCGUGAGAGCAUCCUCCUUAUCAGCCACCAGUUUAGCAAAAGUCCAUUUUGAAAAAUCUCAGCUCUUCCUCCGUCCUCCUCUUUUCUCCAAUUAACAUGCAUUUUUCUUCAGCAUUCUUAAUAUUCUGUCUCAGCUUCUCGUCAUACGUGCUCCACAGUUCUCUCAGGCAGAACUUCGUAGCCACUGACCACUCCAGGUCUACCCAUUCCACAUAGUUACAUUUCACUUCUUCCUACAGUAUGAAAAAAUAUGGUCUCAAUCAUAUAUGCACAAAUGCAAUACAAUUACAUGCAAUGCACUAAAAAUAUGGUCUCAAUCAUAUAAACACAAAAUGUAGCAUGCAAUGAUAUACAUAUAUAUACAUAUAUAUAUAUAUAUAUAUAUAUAUAUAUAUGGAUCAAUUAACUACAAGUAUAUGCUAUUAUGUGCUAAAACAAAUAUUAGACCGUGAAAAAAACAUAAAUACGGACUUUGUAAAUGCACAAAUUAAUUGAAAUGUAUGCAAUUUUGGGCAGAACAAUGGAUUACCGCGAAGUAAAUCAAGCACGAGGUAAUUUAAACAUAUAUUUAUAGUACGGAACAACAUACCUUCUGACCACAGGCAAGAAAACGUCUGCCAGUGUCCAAGGAAUCAAAAGCAACUAGCCUGACGCAAGGUUCUCGAUGCAGACAACGAGAAGACAGAUCGUGAGCAAUGCCACUCCAUUCAUAGCAAGGGAUAGUCGUAGGAAGCUAAACGAAACAACAGAGAUAAUGCACAAAUCAACGCCCUGCGUUAAAUACCGGAAAUGAAGAACCCUAACUCUAAGCCUAGCACUAUUUGGAGAUUAUAUAGUAGGAGCGUACCUGCAGGCUAGUCAUGGAUUCGCCAUCCGAAGAAGAGCUCGACUCGUCGCUCCACGAAACCAUGGCGUAACGUGACCGGCGGCAAGACGUGGAUUGGUGGCGGCAGCGGCAGCGGCGGUUGCAGUGGAUAGAUAGAACGCGCGUGGAGAUCGCGAGGGAAGAACCGCCCCGACCAGGUGGCCAGCGCGGCCCAUUUAAACGGGCUGUAAUCAAAAUAAAAAUUGUUCAAUGGGCUCGGCAACGGGAGCGGCCGUGUGUCGUGCCGUCUUACGGCAUCCGUCACCCCCCCUCCACGUCAUCGCGACAAGCGGCCCGAGUUACACUACAAGCCAUAAAAUGGUGGGUUUUUCUUUUCUUUAUAAGGGGAAAAUGGUGGGUUUUUGGUACGAAGUCUAUACUAUAGACCAAAGUGAGCUGGUAUCUUCUAUAUCUAAAUGGUGGUGAACCAAAGGAGUCAAAAAAAUUUAAUUAUUACCACACAUAAUUACAUCUUCUAUAUCUAAACAACUAGCCACCACUAACCUAUUUCUCUUAACAUGCAAGUUUGCCACCUCGUCAUUCAACAUGUAUGGAGAAAGGUCCACCACAACAUGCAAACAAAAUAUUCCCGCAACAACAUAUACAUGUUACAUGUAACCAUUUCUCUAUGAAUAUAUUGCAAAACAUUCCCGCAACAACCUGCCAGGUAUCGUCUAGUUUUCUAAUAUAAUAUAACUACAGUGGACAACACAAAAGAUGCCAUCAUUACAAUGGCUAAAAUGCUAUCCAUUUUCCAUGAUUAAAGUCCCUAGUGACCGCCUCCUGUUUAGUCCAUAUAUGCUACAAGCACUAUCUCAAGGUACUGGCCUGUUGCAAUAGUAUAUAUCAUGUAUCAUGUAUGCAGUAACACAUUGUAAACACCUCACUAUUAGAUCACUGGAUUCAUCCUAACAUAACUUUAGCAACUGUUCUACUCUUCUUCGCCCACCACACUUCUGCACACGAUAACAGGAAAAACUAAUGAAUGACAAGUUAAAAACAAUUAUAACCUACAAUGCAUACAAAAACUUACUUCUUAUUUAGUUUGCAUUUCUUGCUGCGUUUAGUGUGCCCUAGCAAUUUGCAUGCGCCGCACCUGAUUCUGAUCUCGUCGUACGAAAGUGGCCUACCAUUUUUCGACAUAGGGCGGUUCUCAUCUACCUUAGUUGCACCUUUCGUUGAUACUUUAAUAGGAUCAUGAACUUCAACUAUGUUGCCUUCACCAUCAUCUACAUAUUCAAUUGCACAAGUACUAAGAUCAGCCGUUUUCUUACUCAAAUUUUCCUUUAGCUGAUCAUACUCAUGGCUCUUAGCUAUCACGGCCUUCAAACUCUCCUGUAACUGAUCCCACAAAGUUGGGUGUUUGCAUGCUGCAUGCAUAGCUUCUGAAGCCAACACACUGACCUGGCUAUAUUUCAUUCUUUCAGCUGCUCCAGUCCAUCCAAAUCCCAAAAGAUCGCUUGUGCGCCUGGCGGGCAGUCCCAACCUUGCGUCUUUCGUGAACCGCACAAGAACUAAACACUUUGGUAUUUCAGAUAUAUUCAAGUACUUCAGUACAUGGAAUAUGUGCUUGCAAGGUAGACCCUUUCGAAUCAUUCUUUUGCAGCUGCACCUUAUAGUUUCUGCGGAAUUUACUAGAGUGUACUCCACCCAAAAACGGCUCUUCCGGUUAUUCUUCCAGGCCACGAUGUACUGCUGUGAUCCGUCUCCGAGCUUUAUUUCUACAAUCUUCAUGCCACCAAUUUUCCUAAGAUCAGCUUGCAACAUAUAGAAGUUUGCUGGAGUGAAGACGUGAGAAGCAGCUAUCUCAAGUUCCCUCGAGCUAGUAACUGGCACCGGUAAACUCUGUGAGGCCGUGCAAUCAUCUCGUGCCUCAUUCUCACAGAUACGCACAACGGCGUUCUCAUAGUGCAAAAUCAUAUCCACCAGGGUCAUUUCACCGUCUAGGUGGAGGUGAAGGCAUGAGUUUAGACUUUCACUCCUCUGGUUGCUUUUCAUGCCAAGCCAAAAACCCUCUGUCAGAUAAGCCGCGGCCCACAGUCUCCUCUUCUUAUACAUCCGUCUCAACCAUGUUACUAUUUUUUCCGACUGCCAUCUUUUGGAAAACGCGUGCCAUCUCUCCUCAAACGUGGCGGUGGACGUGCUGUAGUACAGCAGAGUUCGGAAAUCCUUCAAGGACUUGUGACUGAGGUGAAUCUUCAUAUUUUUUUCUAUAUGCCACGUACAUAUACGGUGCCACACGUCUGGCAAGACUUGGCGAAUUGCCUUGAUCAUCGCAGCGUCGGCAUCCGUGAUAACACUCAUAGGCAUCUUUUGACACAUGGACCUCAAAAAAGUCUCCAGCAGCCACACAUAUGUCUCUUCGGUCUCGUCCGAAACUAUGGCAUAAGCAAAAACAGUGGUCUUCCGGUGAUUGUUAAGACCAACAAAGGGUAUGAAUGGCAUACCAUACCGGUUCAUCUUGUACGUGCUGUCAAAUACAAGCACGUCGCCGAAGUCCUCAUAGUCAUGACGAGACUGGGAGUCACACCAGAACAUCCUAUUCAUAUGUCCUUCCUUGUCUAGCUUGUACUCGAAAAAGAAGCUAGGAUCCCUCUGUUUCCUACUGACCAUGAUGCCUAUGACUGUGGCAGCAUCACCUUUUGAAAGCAGCUUCCUCUUCUCCCUGGCGCAAAGGUUGUAUAUUUCACGCCUGGUAAAACCAACACCGCCGUACCAUACACGUUUGCUGAUGAAGCAAUCCAUCAUGUCGUGAAUUCUAAUCCCUGCAGCUCCCAUGGACAUUAUCUCAUGCUUCUGGUACUCUUUGAUUUUUCUGUGGGACCAAAGAAAAGGUACCUCGUCCGGUCCUGCCAAGAUAUGGCUAUGCUUGUCCUCAAAACUAUCAACAUACCAAACCCCACGCUUUUGGUCAAGCUUCACGGUCAGGUGCGCUUCGCAGUGGCAGCGUGUCUCGGGUCUGAGCCUACGGCUGUGUCCUUCCUCGGUUAGCAACCUGCUGUCACAUUUUCCUUGUCUGGAACAAACAAACCGCCUAUAACGCAUAUGACGUGACUCGGUUUUGCUAUACCUGACCCUAUUCUUUCUAAUGCUGAAACCAUUAUCUCUAGCAUAGUUGUUGUAGAAAUCAUACGCAGCCUCGUGAGACGUAAAAGUCAUUUGUAUUAUCUGCAUGAACAUAUCCCUCUUAUCAUCUGCACUAGCAGUAUCUUGGACAUUCUUUUUACCCUCAACUUCUGUCACCUACACAAUCAUAACAUAGCCAUGAAAACAGUUUUCUAUGGUAUAACAUUACUUCCAUACAACAUUGAUUACAUACAUACCUCACUCAUGAUGACCGACGAUUGCGACUCCCCAGAAUCAGAUGCAGCUAAUGAUUCGACAUCAAGGCCUGUCUCCGCAUCGGAUUCACCGUAAUAGUCGUACGCAUUAUGACAUUCGGAAAUGAGCUGAAAAAUAUAACACAAAUACAUAAGUACUUAUCAUAUAAUAUUCCAGGAUUAAUUUAAUUUGCAUGCAUGCCAACAAAAAAUUCCACUUCCAUACCUGACUAAUGUAAUCUUCAUUCGAGAUCUCCGAGUUGUUUUCCUCACCAUCAUCAUGCUCAUUGUUUUCCUGACCAUCAUCAUGUUCAUCCAUCUAUAAAUUUUCAAAAUAUAAUAUUGUCGGAUGCCACCAAAAAAUUACAACAUGAUAAUGCCACUCACAUUAAGAUCUUCCAAUACGUUCCCAUUCUCUGACCUAUCUCCACGAUCUGAAUUUUCAUCAUCUGACCAAUCUUCUAUCCAGUCUUUCAUCAGUUCUCCAAACUCCAUGUCAUACAUCAUAUCAGUUAACUCAUCGUCCGCCAUUUCCUACAACAAUUAAUAUGUAUCAUCACAUGUGCAAACAUUAUCAAUGCUGACAUAUACAACACCUAGCGCAUGAUCACGGAUGUUAAAUAAACUACACCAACCGGAGAGCGCCCCAACCGAAGGCGUUCAGAUCGUGCACACAACCGACGCCAACGACCUCUGAUCGCCCAUGGAUCCUCCCCCCUCUCCACACCGAGCGGCGUUAAGGUACGUCCCACGAAUCCAGUACGUGAUCACUUUGGAUCGCGAGAAGCAGCGCUACCCGUGAUAACAUGCGCCGCCAGAUUCCUAGCCCACGGCACCAGUCGUGAUUACUUUGGAUCGCCGGAUACCUAGGUAAGCCGCCGCAUCAAAUAACGGAGUCGUCGUGCACACAACCGACGGCAACCAUCGCUAGGUUAACCCUAGAAAGAAGAAACCCACUUUAGCCCGCGUGAUCACUGUGUAUAUCACGACGAGCAGCACUACCAGAACAAGAUCUGCGAUGGCCUGGACCACCAGAAAGCUAGGUUGCCCGCCCCGCUAGGUUAACCACUACGACGAAAACAACGGCAGUUCGUUUGAUGCUGCCGCGAGCGAGACAAACGUGGGGAAACGGGAUGCGGUACCUGCGAGCGCCGGAGGUUGACGACGGUGCCGCGCGCGCUCUCGGACGAGAUCGCCGGCGAUAAGAUCGCUGCCGCCGAUAUUCCUAGAGAACCUCACCAGAAUGAUGGAGGAGCUGCGUGAAUGAUGGAUCUGCGUGAUUGAUUGAGCUGCGUGAUUGAUGGAUCGGCCGUCGGCAGGUCUUACCUGGUCGUGGGGUCGUGUCAUCCUUUUUUUUCGGGAUGUCACCGUAUACAUACGUAUGGGUCAUACGGGUUAUACAGGGCUUGGAUAUGGGCUAUGGAGCUUGGAUAUGGGCAGCGGUGGGCCGGAGAAAAAAUAGAUGGCGGGGGUCAAGAAUACCCCUAGGAAAUUGAGUUAGGGGGGUGCACCGGAGCAAGCCUCGUUGACGUAAUGAUAUUGUACCAUGCAACAUUGUGAAGGAGUUAUUUCACAAAGAAGAUAGAGCUGAUCUUGGAGAAGAGUAGGAUAUACUGUGAUAAAUAAAGACCAAGUUGCAGUUGCUUCAUGGAUGUAUCGACCCUUUAGUGCUCUUUCUUUCUAAACAGCAUAUGUUUGCUUAUAUAAUCUUUUGAACCACUGCCUUCUGGGCUGUAAUAAUAGCGUACUGCUUAGAUUGUGGUUUGGUAUGUCAUUACAAGCUUAAAAUUAUCUGCUAUCUAAUUUUUAUGUAGUUCUUGCGUAAUAUUUGUUUCUGCUUUCAUCUUAGUAUGUAAUUACAAUCUAAUUGUUCGUUCUCACCUGGCUUAAUUAGCUGAAAACUGAUGUUCUGACGGUGCCACUUUCUAUUUGCAGUACUAUUGCCGAGCCACCUUACCAUCACAAGUAUUUGCCUGAGCUCUGGUGAUUACUCCCAAGGAUUACUCCACCAAAUACCAUUACUAAGGUAUCACUAUGUGCCUGGCUAGCUAUUCAUGUGCAGUACUGCAAUGUGUGGCCUUCUCUGUUCUGUGAAAUGCCAGUACUUGUGCUGUGACCCUUCAUGUAAUGUCCGUUAACUUCCAAAGUGUCGCGUAACUAGGAGGACAGCAGCAUCGGCGCGGUGAUCAAGUCACUCCUUAGCGCAGAUAAGUAGUGCCACCUGGCCAGCGGCAGGAAGUCCGCCGAUCAUCGGGAUCUGCUUCAUGGACGGCGCCUGGAAGAAGCUCAAUGACCAGACCAUCGUCCUCUCCAAGAGGAGGGGCCGGCUCAAGCAGGUACAGCUAUCUCACCACAGCUCGCUCCUCCUCCUCCCUGUUUCUUCUUUGAUGACUGUCUAUAUAAACACAAAAUUUACUUCAUGUGGUGUGUCCAUAUAGUGUGGAUGCCUAAUUGAUAUCGUCAGAAGUUCAUUAUCAUUGACAUGCUAUUAAUUUAUUUUCACAAGAUACUCUCUUGGUUAACCGCGAAUAGCAUUAGCUGCCAACUGCUAGCACUAGGUUGUGGGUAGAGUAGAUGAUUCGGUUAUCUGAGCAGCCGCUGAACUGUCGAACCGUGUGUUUUUAUCACCUGAACUUCCGCGAGCCAUAGUUUCUCGCAACCCAUUUGUUCUGUGCAUUCCUCCGAUAUGUGUGAUGUGCAACUUCUGUAAUAAUUCUUUGAAGAGGAAUGCUUGCUUUGGUUAAGACUGACGUAUGAGGUCCCCUGAGUUGUACUUACACGCAUUAUUUUUGUGGUAGAAUUACACAUCACUUUUGUGGUAAUGUUCAUUUUUACUGAUUUUGUAGUCAGACUUUGGCGAGCUGUGAAGAUUUUGCUUUUAGUCACAGAGAUAGGCUUCAAAUGUUAUCUACCUUGGUAAGGUGAUUCGUUGUCUUCAGCUGGUAUGUUUGAGCCUGUGCCGGGUUCACCGGUUCAGUUAGCGAUAAUAACACCAACGGCUAAUUGUGAUAUUAUUUAUAGUUUUCAUAUUUAUCAUUAGGAUGAUGAAGCCUGCCAAGUAUUAUCCAGUACUAAUUAGCUUUGCCUCAGAACUUGGAAAGAGAAAGUAGAGUUAUCAAUAAUGAUCAGCUAUAAGGUACCGUUGAUAUCGAUGUUUCCAGAACAUCGUUUCCAAUUGUCUGUUAUCUCAUUGUGUUUAUAAGCAGAUACAACAUCUACUGUAACACUUAUUCUUACACUUGCUGACAUGAACUACUUGGCUAUGUUUAUAGAAUUUAUCUCUUUAUGUUUUGUACUACUCGAUGUAAAUUAGUUGUCCUCAGCAAACAUUGUGCUUUGCUUUUGGUACAAAUUUUGACUUUAUGAUCUGCAGUGAAAUUGCGCUUAUCCUGGGCAACAACUACACUUUUCUUUUGGUAUAUAUUUGAUCUGCGUGCCCUAUAUUAAACUCGGCUAUCCUGGGCAGCAACUAUACCUUGCUCUUGAUAUAUCUUUGUAUUGUUUGUGAUAUAUACUGAACACAUUUAUCCUCAGCGGUUACUCUAAUUUCCUUUGGAUGUUCUAAACGCUUUGUUAUAUUGCAGUUUUAGACGGCGAGUCACCGUGCCGAGCCAGGCGCCAAGGCGCGCUUCCGAUCUAGUAUAUACGGCCAUCAGCGGGCUGCAGCGCUCUCAGUUGUUGGGUCGGCUUCCUCCUCAGAAACCACAUGUUGGGCACAAUGUUGGAAAUAUGCCCUAGAGGCAAUAAUAAAAUGGUUAUUAUUAUAUUUCCUUGUUCAUGAUAAAUUAUCUAUUGUUCAUGCUAUAAUUGUGUUAUCCGGAAAUCGUAAUACAUGUGUGAACACAUAGACCACAACAUGUCCCUAGUGAGCCUCUAGUUAACUAGCUCAUUGAUCAAUAGAUGGUUACGGCUACCUGACCAUGGACAUUGGAUAUCAUUGAUAACGGGAUCACAUCAUUGGGAGAAUGAUGUGAUGGACAAGACCCAAUCCUAAGCAUAGCACUAGAUCGUGUAGUUCGUUUGCUAAAUCUUUUCUAAUGUCAAGUAUCAUUUCCUUAGACCAUGAGAUCGUGCAACUCCCGGAUACCGUAGGAAUGUUUUGGGUGUACCAAACGUCACAACGUAACUGGGUGGCUAUAAAGGUGCACUACAGGUAUCUCCGAAAGUGUCUGUUGGGUUGGCACAGAUCGAGACUGGGAUUUGUCACUCCGUAUGAUGGAGAGGUAUCUCUGGGCCCACUCGGUAUUGCAUCAUCAUAAUGAGCUCAAUGUGACUAGGUAGGUAGUCACGGGAUCAUGCAUUACGGAACAAUUAAAGUGACUUGCCGGUAACGAGAUUGAACGAGGUAUUGGGAUAUAGACAAUCGAAUCUCGGGCAAGUAAAGUACCGAUUGACAAAGGGAAUUGUAUACAGGAUUACUUGAAUCCUCGACAUCGUGGUUCAUCCGAUGAGAUCAUCGAGGAACAUGUGGGAGCCAACAUGGGUAUCCAGAUCCCACUGUUGGUUAUUGACCGGAGAGUCGUCUCGGUCAUGUCUGCAUGUCUCCCGAACCUGUAUGGUCUACACACUUAAGGUUCGGUGACGCUAGGGUUGUAGAGAUAUUAGUAUGUGUAACCCGAAAGUUGUUCGGAGUCCCGGAUGAGAUCUCGGACGUCACGACGAGUUCCGGAAUGGUCUGGAGGUAAAGAUUUGUAUAUAGCAAGUCCAGUUUCGGCUACCGGGAAAGUUUCGGGGGUCACCGGUAUUGUACUGGGAACACCGGAAGGGUCCCGGGGGUCCACCGGGUGGGGCCACCUAUCCCGGAGGGCCCCAUGGGCUGAAGUGGGAAGGGAACCAGCCCCUGGUGGGCUGGUGCGCCCCCCAUGGGCCUCCCCUGCACCUAGGGUUGGAAACCCUGGGGGUGGGGGGCGCCCCACUUGACUUGGGGGGCAAGUCCCCCCCUGUGCCGCCGCCCCCCCUCAGAUGGGAUCUCCAGGGGGCCGGCGCCCCCCCAGGACCCCUAUAAAUAGUGGGGGGGAGGGAGGGCAGCCGCACCCUAAGCCCUGGCGCCUCCCUCUCCCUCCCGUGACACACCUCCCUCCUCCCGCAGCGCUUGGCGAAGCCCUGUCGGAAUCCCGCUACUUCCACCACCACGCCGUCGUGCUGCUGGAUCUCCAUCAACCUCUCCUUCCCCCUUGCUGGAUCAAGAAGGAGGAGACGUCGCUGCUCCGUACGUGUGUUGAACGCGGAGGGGCCGUCUGUUCGGCGCUAGGAUCGUCGGUGAUUUGGAUCACGACGAGUAUGACUCCAUCAUCCCCGUUCUCUUGAACGCUUCCGCUCGCGAUCUACAAGGGUAUGUAGAUGCACUCCUCUUUCUCGUUGCUAGAUGACUCCAUAGAUUGAUCUUGGUGAUGCGUAGAAAAUUUUAAAUUUCUGCUAUGAUCCCCAACAGUGGCAUCAGAGCUUGGUCUAUGCGCAGUUACUAUGCACGAGUAGAACACAAGAUUGUUGUGGGCGUAGAUCAUGUCAAUUUACUUUCCGCUACUAGUCUUAUCUUGAUUCGGCGGCAUCGUGGGAUGAAGCGGCCCGGACCGACCUUACACGUGCACUUACGUGAGACAGGUUCCACCGACUGACAUGCACUAGUUGCAUAAGGUGGCUAGCGGGUGUCUGUCUCUCCCACUUUAGUCGGAUCGGAUUCGAUGAAAAGGGUCCUUAUGAAGGGUAAAUAGUAAUUGGCAUAUCACGUUGUGGUUUUACGUAGGUAAGAAACGUUCUUGCUAGAAACCUAUAGAAGCCACGUAAAAACAUGCAACAACAAUUAGAGGACGUCUAACUUGUUUUUGCAGCAUAUGCCUUGUGAUGUGAUAUGGCCAAAAGGAUGUGAUGAAUGAAAUAUAUGUUAUGUAUGAGAUUGAUCAUGUUCUUGUAAUAGGAAUCACGACUUGCAUGUCGAUGAGUAUGACAAGCGGCAGGAGCCAUAGGAGUUGUCUUUUUUUUGUAUGACCUGCGUGUCAUUGAAUAACGCCAUGUAAAUUACUUUACUUUAUUGCUAACCGUUAGCCAUAGUAGUAGAAGUAAUAGUUGGCGAGACAACUUCGUGAAGGCACGAUGAUCGAGAUCAUGAUGAUGGAGAUCAUGGUGUCAUGCCGGUGACGAUGAUGAACAUGGCGCCCCGAAGAUGGAGAUCAAAAGGAGCAAAUGAUAUUGGCCAUAUCAUGUCACUAUUUGAUUGCAUGUGAUGUUUAUCAUGUUUUGCUCACUACUAGGAAAAGGCCUACUAAUGGCGCACCUAAUUUGGCUAUUAAUGGCGCAUUAGUGGUGCGCCAUUAGUAUAUUUUACUAAUGGCGCACCACUGGUGCGCCAUUAGUAUAUACCAGAUACUAAUGGCGCACCUCAGAUGCGCCAUUAGUAUACCAGAUACUAAUGGCGCACCCCAGAUGCGCCAUUAGUAUAUACAACAGUGCGCCAUUAGUAUGCCUCCCAGGGGGCCAUGUAUACCCAGGUGCUUUGGCAUACUAAUGGCGCACCAACCCACGGUGCGCCAUUAGUAAUUUUUUUUAAAAAAAUUUCAAAUUUUGAAAAAAAAAAAUUUCAAUUUUUUUUUCUUAUUUUUUAAAAUUUUGUCAAUUUUUUUCCUAAUCUCGGGUCAAUAUGCUUAAUCUCAAGUCAAAUCGCAACUAAGUGGUCAAACUUCCCGGAAGGUCACCCAUCCUCACAGUACUCCAGCCCGAGCACGCUUAACUUCGCAGUUCUAUCCAACCCCAGCACCACCUCACUUAACAGCCACUUGUUGAUAUAUCUAUCAUAUCAAUCGUAUUAAACCUUGUUGAUGUCUAGGACUUUGUUCAUAUUCAUGAGUAUGAUGAAAUUUUGAAAAAUAUUUGAAACUUCCCUGUCAUAUUACGAAUCAUUUUUUGAAAAAAAAAUCCAAAAAAAAUUCAAAACAAAUAUUUUUUUCUGUUACUAGUGGCGCACCUAGCAACCGGUGCGCCACUAGUAAGUUUGAAUUUUUUUCCUCUAGAUCUUGAAAGCCCCGUAUCUUUUUUUCUGUUAGGUUUUUGAGGAUUUUGAAAAUGUUUAACGGGGUUCCCCCAGUUAAAUUCGGAUGUAUCUUUUCGAGUAGAUGAUUUUUCAUAUAAAAAACUUUUUCAUCCGAGUUCGUAUGCAAAAGUUAUGCCCAUUUUAAGAAAUUCCAGAGAGAUUUUGCAAAUAAAGUCAAAAUUCAUAUUUGUUAAUUUUCCCAACAACUAGACCACAUAUCACAUGGGAAACUUAUUUUAUUUUAUUUUUUG